CGCGGGGUGGAGCAGCCUGGUAGCUCGUCGGACUCAUAACCCGAAGGUCGUCGGUUCAAAUCCGGCCCCCGCAACCA
rnacentral:tRNA from 3 species